CACGUAGGGGGCAAGCGUUGUUCGGAAUUACUGGGCGUAAAGGGCAUGUAGGCGGCCUUGUAAGCUUGGCGUGAAAGUCCAUGGCUCAACCAUGGGACUGCGUUGAGAACUGCGAGGCUUGAGUGACGGAGAGGGAGCUAGAAUUCCUGGUGUAGGGGUGGAAUCUGUAGAGAUCAGGAAGAAUACCAAUGGCGAAGGCAAGCUCCUGGCCGAUGACUGACGCUGAGGUGCGAAAGUGUGGGGAUCAAACAGGAUUAGAUACCCUGGUAGUCCACACUGUAAACGAUGUGCACUAGGUGCUGGGGCGGAUGCUUCAGUGCCGUAGCUAACGUGAUAAGUGCACCGCCUGGGGAGUAUGCUCGCAAGGGUGAA
rnacentral:rRNA from 1 species